rnacentral:rRNA from 1 species
UACGUAGGUGGCAAGCGUUGCUCGGAAUCACUGGGCGUAAAGGGCGCGUAGGCGGGGAGGGAAGUCGGGUGUGAAAUCCCUCGGCCCAACCGAGGAACUGCGCCCGAGACUGCUUCUCUUGAGUCCCGGAGAGGAAGGUGGAAUUCCCGGUGUAGCGGUGAAAUGUGUAGAGAUCGGGAGGAACACCGGUGGCGAAGGCGGCCUUCUGGACGGUGACUGACGCUGAGGCGCGAAAGCGUGGGGAGCAAACGGG